UGAUGGAGCAAACAUUCUGAUGGAUUUUAUGCUCUGUUCUUUUUUAAGGUUUUGAAUGUUACCAGCACACCUGAUGUUUUUCCCCAAAUGAAGAGUCAGUGUAUCUCUGUCUUCUGUGCAGAAAUUUCUGCUGGAAUGGAGAAAGAAAAGUUUGCAUAAGAACUUGUCACAAAGACAAAUGAACUUAAGAGACCAAGAAGAGAACCAUAUAAUUUGAAGUUCACAGAGAUCAACAAGCCAGCAGAAUUAUAGAUGGAGCUGUUCUGUGGUGUCUGAAAUGUGUCCAUGCAUUUCCUGCAUAACUGGACCCUACCUCAUUAAGGGUAA